CUCUUGCCGCGUUACUGCGGCUGGUCUUAAAAGUAUUAGCUGGUCUGUAAGAAACCUUGGGUUUGACUUGGCGUGAUAAUAUAUUCGCUGAGGACACUUUGGUGGCCUAAUUUCUUACUGGAUUGCUUCUAAUCGUCUUUACCGACAACUUAUAUUUCAAAUCUGACCUCGAAUCAGGUGGGACUACCCGCUGAACUUAA
rnacentral:misc_RNA from 1 species